CAAAGGGGACUCGGCCGCCAUGUUAGGAGUACUGGGAAGAUUCCUCGGAGCCAGGCAGAGGUUUUAGGGGUGCUCGGGAGUUGCGUGGUGGUUCAGUAGGGAUGGUGAGGUGGAGGACGAGCUGGUCGGAUAGCUGCGGGCAUGAACCUGGGAACCAGAGGGUGGAGGCCGUGCUGGGGGUUGGUGUAGGGCGGGACUGACUAGAAGCGGUAUCCACAGGCCCAGUGAGCCUCGGUCUCAGUUCCUGAAGGUGUUUCCUGGGGCCCUUCGCUUCCUUCUCAGUUUUUUAGCUAAGAGGUUGAAAGAGUCGGUUUACUUCUGGGCUUGGAGUAUCUUAGAUCGGUUAACAGUACAGUUGAGAGAGUUGGUGUUUUUGUUGAGGUGCGGGGACCAUAAGCGGCGACCCUCGCCUUUAUUCUGAGAAGCCCACUUACACCCACAGAGUUGUGCUCGUCCUCCCAAAUGCAUUUCUGUUUUGCCGUUUGUUUUCCAACCCUCCUUCCCUCUCCCCAAGAUUUCAGAUUCACUGAUUUGUCAUACAGGCAUGAUUAGCAAAGGCGUCCGAAGAAAUCGUUGUUGGAAGGUAGCCAAGCUGGAAAGACGUUGGUUUGGCCCUGCGACACAAUGCUGCAAAAUGACUGGUUCAUAAACCACUAAGCUGCCUUGGCAGCCACAUGUUAUUGUUACCAGAGACUGAAUUGGAGUCCUCGAUUCUCAAUACAUAAGAACUAGUCUAUGAAAGCAUCAGGAGAGAGGACCGUAGUAUUUGAGAAUAAAACAUGUAUUGAUAGUUG